AACGAACGCUGGCGGCAUGCCUAACACAUGCCAGUCGAACGAGACCUUCGGGUCUGGUGGCGCACGGGUGCGUAACGCGUGGGAACAUGCCUUGAGGUCCGGAAUAACUCCCCGAAUGGGGUGCUAAUACCGGCUAAUGUCCUCCGACCAAAGGUUUGUCGCCUUUGGAUGGGCCUGCGAUGGAUUAGCUAGUUGGUAGGGUAAAAGCCUAUCAAGGCUUCGAUCGAUAGAUGGCCUGAGAGGAGGGUCAGCCACACUGGGACUGAGAGACGGCCCAGACUACUGGAGGAGGCAGGAGUGGGGGAUAUUGGACAAUGGGCGAAAGCCUGAUCGAGCAAGGCCGCGUGAGUGAUGAAGGCCUUAGGGUUGUAAAGCUCUUUUACCCGGGAUGAUAAUGACGGUACCGAGAGAAUAAGCUCCGGCUAACUCCGUG
rnacentral:rRNA from 1 species